AGCAUCUACCCUGUUUAAAUCAUUGUUACUUUGGGUCUGCAUGACUCACAGCAAAACCUGACCCUAAUGAUAUACUCAUACAAUGAGAAGUCCCUGAAGUAGAGUGGGCUUCAGGAACAGUGUAGUCUAGUGGCUCUGGCUCCAUUCCUCUGUGAUGCUCUUGGCCUCUGCUCUCCUCCAUGAGAGAGACUCAUCUCGGGCUGGAAGUCACAGAGGCUCACCCAGGAUCGAGGAGAAGAAACAUCAGUUCCACAUCUUUAUGGUUCCGUGGCAAGGUUCCGGAAGAAUAUAUAAGACUGGAAUUAUUAUGGCAACUCAUGUUGGAAAAUGCAAUCUGCUGCAAGGUGAAUGGGAGGUUGAUGGUCACCAAUAACGUCCACCACCAGGAGAAAUCAAGUGGACUUCCUGGCUCUGCUUUCCUCUCCCUUCUUCACAGGACACUGUGAGCUUUCUCUGAGAAGGCGAGUGAGUCCAUUGGACCAGGCUAGCAUCGUUUUAAUGGAUGAACCGGUGACAAGCGCUAGACACAUAACUAGGUGGCAGACUUCCCUCCCACCUCUCGGGAGGAAUUUAGGCUUCAUGCACACCCAGCCCCCUUUGGCUCGCCACGUCUUUCAGUUCCAGAUCUUCUGGGAUUCCAGUCAGCAGGCUCGUGUGUCUCAUUCUACCUCUGAAACCCGGAGCUGCUGAGCCGUGAUGAUUUUUCCACGCCUCACCCUGGGGUGUGUUCGCACAAAAUGCCGAAGUAUUUUAAAUCUUUCGAACUCAUUAAAAUAGAUGUGCAACUGGGAUCUGCUCACUCUGUUCUCCAGGAUCCCCUACUCUGGCUCCCCACACCCUACUGUCCCCCAAAACUCACAACCCCAAUAGAUCCCAUUAAUAAAGACAUGCG
rnacentral:lncRNA from 1 species